CCUCAGCGUAACUGGACAAUCAUUUGGCUGUGUGUUACACAAGAAAGCUGGGAGGUAGAGAGGAGGCGAGAAGAGCAGAGGAAAGGUGAGAGAGCCCUACUUUCUGCUGCCCCGAAUCCACGGAAGCCUCUACAAACCCCUCUUUCACCUUGAGCUUACUAGAUCACCAAGCCAGGCCUCUCUGGUCUCAACCAUCAAUAAAGCAAUGCAGCACCGAGGAGCACCAGUUCCUGCCCCUUAUGUCAUCAUCAGGAAGCCAUAAAGGAACCUAGACUGGAAGAUGGAGAAGAACAAUGUAACCCAGAAGGCUGCCCCAGAGCCCAGCUAGCUCUGGAGAACAACUCUGCUCUUGGUUUUAAUGCCUGAA